rnacentral:rRNA from 1 species
ACGCUGGCGGCGUGCCUAAUACAUGCAAGUAGAACGCUGAAGGAGGAGCUUACUUUUCUGGAUGAGUUGCGAACGGGUGAGUAACGCGUAGGUAACCUGCCUGGUAGCGGGGGAUAACUAUUGGAAACGAUAGCUAAUACCGCAUAACAGUAGAUGUUGCAUGACAUUUGCUUAAAAGGUGCAAUUGCAUCACUACCAGAUGGACCUGCGUUGUAUUAGCUAGUUGGUGGGGUAACGGCUCACCAAGGCGACGAUACAUAGCCGACCUGAGAGGGUGAUCGGCCACACUGGGACUGAGACACGGCCCAGACUCCUACUGGAGGCAGCAGUAGGGAAUCUUCGGCAAUGGACGGAAGUCUGACCGAGCAACGCCGCGUGAGUGAAGAAGGUUUUCGGAUCGUAAAGCUCUGUUGUAAGAGAAGAACGAGUGUGAGAGUGGAAAGUUCACGCUGUGACGGUAUCUUACCAGAAAGGGACGGCUAACUACGUGCCAGCAGCCGCGGUAAUACGUAGGUCCCGAGCGUUGUCCGGAUUUAUUGGGCGUAAAGCGAGCGCAGGCGGUUAGAUAAGUCUGAAGUUAAAGGCUGUGGCUUAACCAUAGUACGCUUUGGAAACUGUUUAACUUGAGUGCAAGAGGGGAGAGUGGAAUUCCAUGUGUAGCGGUGAAAUGCGUAGAUAUAUGGAGGAACACCGGUGGCGAAAGCGGCUCUCUGGCUUGUAACUGACGCUGAGGCUCGAAAGCGUGGGGAGCAAACAGGAUUAGAUACCCUGGUAGUCCACGCCGUAAACGAUGAGUGCUAGGUGUUAGACCCUUUCCGGGGUUUAGUGCCGCAGCUAACGCAUUAAGCACUCCGCCUGGGGAGUACGACCGCAAGGUUGAAACUCAAAGGAAUUGACGGGGGCCCGCACAAGCGGUGGAGCAUG